rnacentral:rRNA from 1 species
AGUGAACGUUGGCGGCGUGGGAUAGGCAUGCAAGUCGAGCGAGAACCGUAGCAAUACGGGGAAAGCGGCGAAAGGGACAGUAAUGUGUAGGUACCUACCCCGAGGUCUGGGCUAGCUGCGGGAAACUGCAGGUAAUACCGGAUAAUGCCUGCGGACCGAAGGUGUGAUUCCACCCUGGGACGGGGCUGCAUCCGAUUAGGUAGUUGGCGGGGUAAUGGCCGACCAAGGCGACGAUGUGUAGCGGGUGUGAGAGCACGACCCGCGUCAUUCGGACUGAGACACUGCCCAGACACCUACGGGUGGCUGCAGUCGAGGAUCUUCGGCAAUGGGCGAAAGCCUGACCGAGCGACGCCGCGUGCGGGAUGAAGGCAUUCGGGUUGUAAACCGCUGUCGUAGAGGAGGAAAUGCAGGUGGGUUCUCCCAUCUGUUUGACCUAUUCUAGGAGGAAGUACGGGCUAAGUUCGUGCCAGCCGCCGCCGUAA